AGUGAACGCUGGCGGUAGGCCUAACACAUGCAAGUCGAACGGCAGCACAGUAAGAGCUUGCUCUUACGGGUGGCGAGUGGCGGACGGGUGAGGAAUACAUCGGAAUCUACUUUUUCGUGGGGGAUAACGUAGGGAAACUUACGCUAAUACCGCAUACGACCUACGGGUGAAAGCAGGGGAUCUUCGGACCUUGCGCGAUUGAAUGAGCCGAUGUCGGAUUAGCUAGUUGGCGGGGUAAAGGCCCACCAAGGCGACGAUCCGUAGCUGGUCUGAGAGGAUGAUCAGCCGCACUGGAACUGGGACACGGUCCAGACUCCUACGGGAGGGAGCAGUGGGGAAUAUUGGACAAUGGGCGCAAGCCUGAUCCAGCCAUACCGCGUGGGUGAAGAAGGCCUUCGGGUUGUAAAGCCCUUUUGUUGGGAAAGAAAAGCAGCAGGUUAAUACCCCGCUGUUCUGACGGUACCCAAAGAAUAAGCACCGGCUAACUUCGUG
rnacentral:rRNA from 1 species